ensembl:snRNA U6 U6 spliceosomal RNA
AUCUUCUGGGUAGCAUAAAUCCUAAAACAGGGACAGCACAGAGAAGAUGAGCGUGACCUGGUCAAGGAAGGCACACAAAUUCCUGACACCUUCCAAUUUUUU